rnacentral:lncRNA from 1 species
UCAAGUUUGUCCUGGGAUGGGACUUGAAGGGCCUCUAGAUGAUGGCUUCAGUUGGAGAAAGUAUGGGCAGAAAGAUAUUCUUGGAGCCAAACACCCAAGGUAAGAAACAUUUUCACUGCCAGCAUCUACCAUUGCCCCUUCUAAUUUGCUGAUUUCCUGGUACCAUUGAAGUACAAAGACCAGCAUGUUGUCAGAAUCUACCUUUCAGAAAGUUGCUAGGAUACCCCUUCUUGAGAGGGAAAAGCCAAAAAAUGCCCAACUAUAUGCAACUUCAUUACAUCAAACAAUAGGCUUCAGUUCACUGACUUUUGGCUCGAUGAUCCCAAAAUAUUUGCCCAACUACCCUGCCACUCCUACCAUGCAGAGUCUUCUUUCUUUCCCCAAGCUGUCAUUCUUUUGCAUUGAACAUCUGGCCUGGUCAUUAGGGCAGUAACUGGAGGUAAAUGCUGGAGAAUAAUCAAAAAGGCAAAAUAGAUUUUACAGCAGAAAAAAAAAUGUUCAUCCAUGACUUGAUGGAACUGCGAAAACACUUUCUAGGGUAUUAAAAUUAAGCAUACCAAUUAUUUCUCAUGCUUUAAGUUUGUGUAACCUUGCUAUCUACAAAGAAAACAUAGCUGACUUCACCAUAUUCUUGCAGAGGUUACUACAGGUGCACUCACCGACACGUCCAAGGCUGUCUGGCUACAAAACAAGUUCAAAGAUCUGAUGAGGACCCAACAAUAUUCGAAGUUACAUACCGUGGAAGGCAUACAUGUAACCAGGGUUCUGAGCCAAAACCACCUUCAGCAGCAGCUGAAAAGCCUGAAACUAGCUCGCAAGGGAAACAUCGACAGGUGACCUCUCAACCGCAACAAAAUCAACAGGGAAUACUCUUGAGUUUCCAACGAGACCUAAAAGUUAACACCAAGGACCUAGACUCCCACAACCAACAUUUCCCUACAUUUGACUUCGCUUCAACAUCAACUACAAAGCCAGAAACUCAUCCUUUCUUGCCAUCUCUGACUGAUAACAACUUUGCAGGAGAUUUGUCUCCUCCAUUCAUGACUCCCCUAACAUCAGGGUCAGACUACUUCCCGGUUUCACCAACUCACAUAAGCAGUUAUGCAGAAAACCAAAACUCGUAUGCUUCGGAGUCAGAAUUUACAGGCUUGAUCUCAGCAGCAACUUCCACUACAAAUUCUCCCACUGUUGGCUCAGACUUCCCAUUCAGUCAGAUUGGCUUUGACACGAACUUUACAUUUGAUAAUUCAAGGUUCUUUUCCUAGUCGUCACAGUAAAUUUGAGAAGAAAACAAGAGUAGAAUCGUAUGAAAUUGUAAUUCCAGGUAGUGGACAAAGAAGGCUUUUAUAACAUCAUCAUGUGAAGACGUAGUCUGGUGGAAACCAGCUGAGUAACUGGCAUAGAAAGAAUAUUGUAAACUUAGAGUAUCUAGACAGAGGUUAGUGAAGAAACGGUAACAAUUUUGUUGGAUUCAUGACCCGAAGUCCUUUUGAUUUUCGUCUCAUGCAGUUGUCUGCACUCUGAUCAAACUCUGAAAUCAAUUAGAAUUCAGGUAAGAACUUUGUAUCUGACAUAACAUAAUCUUGUUGCAAGCUUAAAUACCUAAAUACAAAUAGUUGGCAGUCUUUAAGAGCUCAAAAAUUCAAUGGGCUCUGUAUGUUUUCAAUCUUAUAUUCAAAGUUAGCGCUAGAUGCAUAUUUUCUUCACUUCUCAAUAUCAUUAGAUAAACGGAAGUUAAUCAACAAAUAAGGUUUCCCCACAAAAGACUUCCAAGGAAAUCUCUUAAUUAAGCCACUGAAUUUGCUUCAUAUUUUUUUCCCAAAUGCGGAACCAUGCACGUCCUGGGUAUCUGUCAAAUCUGUAUGCAGCAGGACGAAAUUCAGCCUAUGUAACUCCAACUUCAACCAUACAAGUACAACAAACAGCGAAAUUAGCGUUUUGUCUCAUCCACUUUCAAUUCCAAAAAAACUAACAGUAAGCAACUGUCAAGCCAACAGGAAAAUCACACUAAAAAUCGAACUAGUCGACUUCUCAAAUUAGUUUCAAUUUAGUACGGCCGCCACAAAUUCCAUCUUUAAAAAUUCGUGAUUACAACGGCACCCAACAUUUUCAGGGCAAAAGUCUUCAUAUGUGUGUGAGUGAGAGAGCGGAGGCAAACAAAAAUUAAUUCUAGAUUUUCGGUCGUCAGAAAAGUACGAAGCAGGAGAAUAAAAUUUACAAGAAAACCAGCGGAAAAUGGAGAGGAGAAGAUAGGGUAGAGCUAACCCUAACUUUUUCUUUCCAGAAUAUCGAGCUUGGCCCUGCCCAUCUCCGGCUCAUUGUCGUUGUUACGGUGCCGCUGGGCGGGGUGGCGGUGGUUGCUGGAGCCACAUGGAGCAACUUGAUGCGACGUCAGCUCUAAACUCUAGAGCAAUUUAUUUGGGGCUCAGCAGAGUCCAAGAUGAAAACCUUUCGGCUCAAGGACUCUCAGUGAACUGGACGGCCCCUAACUUGACCCAAUCCA